GAAUGAGAGGUGCCCCAUCAACUGGACUUCUCCUGAGUGUUGAAAAGGACAAGGUCUUACUGUGUUGCCCAGGCUGAUCUCAAACUCCUGAGCUCAAGCAAUCCUCCUGCCUCAGCUUCUCAAAGUUCUGGGAUUACAGGCAUGAGCCAUGGCACCUGACCAAGUGGACCAGACCAAUUUUGAGGAAAGGAUACAGACAGCGCCUGGAAUUGUCAGACA
rnacentral:lncRNA from 10 species